rnacentral:rRNA from 1 species
GGGUUGUGAGGUUAAGCGACUAAGCGUACACGGUGGAUGCCCUGGCAGUCAGAGGCGAUGAAGGACGUGCUAAUCUGCGAUAAGCGUCGGUAAGGUGAUAUGAACCGUUAUAACCGGCGAUUUCCGAAUGGGGAAACCCAGUGUGAUUCGUCACACUAUCAUUAACUGAAUCCAUAGGUUAAUGAGGCGAACCGGGGGAACUGAAACAUCUAAGUACCCCGAGGAAAAGAAAUCAACCGAGAUUCCCCCAGUAGCGGCGAGCGAACGGGGAGCAGCCCAGAGCCUGAAUCAGUGUGUGUGUUAGUGGAAGCGUCUGGAAAGGCGCGCGAUACAGGGUGACAGCCCCGUACACAAAAAUGCACAUACUGUGAGCUCGAUGAGUAGGGCGGGACACGUGGUAUCCUGUCUGAAUAUGGGGGGACCAUCCUCCAAGGCUAAAUACUCCUGACUGACCGAUAGUGAACCAGUACCGUGAGGGAAAGGCGAAAAGAACCCCGGCGAGGGGAGUGAAAAAGAACCUGAAACCGUGUACGUACAAGCAGUGGGAGCACGCUUAGGCGUGUGACUGCGUACCUUUUGUAUAAUGGGUCAGCGACUUAUAUUCUGUAGCAAGGUUAACCGAAUAGGGGAGCCGAAGGGAAACCGAGUCUUAACUGGGCGUUAAGUUGCAGGGUAUAGACCCGAAACCCGGUGAUCUAGCCAUGGGCAGGUUGAAGGUUGGGUAACACUAACUGGAGGACCGAACCGACUAAUGUUGAAAAAUUAGCGGAUGACUUGUGGCUGGGGGUGAAAGGCCAAUCAAACCGGGAGAUAGCUGGUUCUCCCCGAAAGCUAUUUAGGUAGCGCCUCGUGAAUUCAUCUCCGGGGGUAGAGCACUGUUUCGGCAAGGGGGUCAUCCCGACUUACCAACCCGAUGCAAACUGCGAAUACCGGAGAAUGUUAUCACGGGAGACACACGGCGGGUGCUAACGUCCGUCGUGAAGAGGGAAACAACCCAGACCGCCAGCUAAGGUCCCAAAGUCAUGGUUAAGUGGGAAACGAUGUGGGAAGGCCCAGACAGCCAGGAUGUUGGCUUAGAAGCAGCCAUCAUUUAAAGAAAGCGUAAUAGCUCACUGGUCGAGUCGGCCUGCGCGGAAGAUGUAACGGGGCUAAACCAUGCACCGAAGCUGCGGCAGCGACGCUGAUGCGUUGUUGGGUAGGGGAGCGUUCUGUAAGCCUGCGAAGGUGUGCUGUGAGGCAUGCUGGAGGUAUCAGAAGUGCGAAUGCUGACAUAAGUAACGAUAAAGCGGGUGAAAAGCCCGCUCGCCGGAAGACCAAGGGUUCCUGUCCAACGUUAAUCGGGGCAGGGUGAGUCGACCCCUAAGGCGAGGCCGAAAGGCGUAGUCGAUGGGAAACAGGUUAAUAUUCCUGUACUUGGUGUUACUGCGAAGGGGGGACGGAGAAGGCUAUGUUGGCCGGGCGACGGUUGUCCCGGUUUAAGCGUGUAGGCUGGUUUUCCAGGCAAAUCCGGAAAAUCAAGGCUGAGGCGUGAUGACGAGGCACUACGGUGCUGAAGCAACAAAUGCCCUGCUUCCAGGAAAAGCCUCUAAGCAUCAGGUAACAUCAAAUCGUACCCCAAACCGACACAGGUGGUCAGGUAGAGAAUACCAAGGCGCUUGAGAGAACUCGGGUGAAGGAACUAGGCAAAAUGGUGCCGUAACUUCGGGAGAAGGCACGCUGAUAUGUAGGUGAAGUCCCUUGCGGAUGGAGCUGAAAUCAGUCGAAGAUACCAGCUGGCUGCAACUGUUUAUUAAAAACACAGCACUGUGCAAACACGAAAGUGGACGUAUACGGUGUGACGCCUGCCCGGUGCCGGAAGGUUAAUUGAUGGGGUCAGCGCAAGCGAAGCUCUUGAUCGAAGCCCCGGUAAACGGCGGCCGUAACUAUAACGGUCCUAAGGUAGCGAAAUUCCUUGUCGGGUAAGUUCCGACCUGCACGAAUGGCGUAAUGAUGGCCAGGCUGUCUCCACCCGAGACUCAGUGAAAUUGAACUCGCUGUGAAGAUGCAGUGUACCCGCGGCAAGACGGAAAGACCCCGUGAACCUUUACUAUAGCUUGACACUGAACAUUGAGCCUUGAUGUGUAGGAUAGGUGGGAGGCUUAGAAGUGUGGACGCCAGUCUGCAUGGAGCCGACCUUGAAAUACCACCCUUUAAUGUUUGAUGUUCUAACGUUGACCCGUAAUCCGGGUUGCGGACAGUGUCUGGUGGGUAGUUUGACUGGGGCGGUCUCCUCCUAAAGAGUAACGGAGGAGCACGAAGGUUGGCUAAUCCUGGUCGGACAUCAGGAGGUUAGUGCAAUGGCAUAAGCCAGCUUGACUGCGAGCGUGACGGCGCGAGCAGGUGCGAAAGCAGGUCAUAGUGAUCCGGUGGUUCUGAAUGGAAGGGCCAUCGCUCAACGGAUAAAAGGUACUCCGGGGAUAACAGGCUGAUACCGCCCAAGAGUUCAUAUCGACGGCGGUGUUUGGCACCUCGAUGUCGGCUCAUCACAUCCUGGGGCUGAAGUAGGUCCCAAGGGUAUGGCUGUUCGCCAUUUAAAGUGGUACGCGAGCUGGGUUUAGAACGUCGUGAGACAGUUCGGUCCCUAUCUGCCGUGGGCGCUGGAGAACUGAGGGGGGCUGCUCCUAGUACGAGAGGACCGGAGUGGACGCAUCACUGGUGUUCGGGUUGUCAUGCCAAUGGCACUGCCCGGUAGCUAAAUGCGGAAGAGAUAAGUGCUGAAAGCAUCUAAGCACGAAACUUGCCCCGAGAUGAGUUCUCCCUGACUCCUUGAGAGUCCUGAAGGAACGUUGAAGACGACGACGUUGAUAGGCCGGGUGUGUAAGCGCAGCGAUGCGUUGAGCUAACCGGUACUAAUGAACCGUGAGGCUUAACCUUACAACGCCGAAG